rnacentral:rRNA from 1 species
UACGUAGGGAGCAAGCGUUGUUCGGAUUUACUGGGCGUAAAGGGCGCGUAGGCGGCAUGACAAGUCACUUGUGAAAUCUCUGGGCUUAACCCAGAACGGCCAAGUGAUACUGUCGCGCUAGAGUGCGGAAGGGGCAAUCGGAAUUCUCGGUGUAGCGGUGAAACGCGUAGAUAUCGAGAGGAACACCUGCGGCGAAGGCGGGUUGCUGGGCUGACACUGACGCUGAUGCGCGAAAGCUAGGGGAGCGAACGGG